rnacentral:misc_RNA from 1 species
GAUGAAGAACGCAGCAAAAUGCGAUAAGUAAUGUGAAUUGCAGAAUUCAGUGAAUCAUCGAAUCUUUGAACGCACAUUGCGCCCGCUGGUAUUCCGGCGGGCAUGCCUGUUCGAGCGUCAUUUCAACCCUCAAGCCCCCGGGUUUGGUGUUGGGGAUCGGCUCUGCCCUUCUGGGCGGUGCCGCCCCCGAAAUACAUUGGCGGUCUCGCUGCAGCCUCCAUUGCGUAGUAGCUAACACCUCGCAACUGGAACGCGGCGCGGCCAUGCCGUAAAACCCCAACGUCUGAAUGUUGACCUCGGAUCAGGUAGGAAUACCCGCUGAACUUAAGCAUAUCAAUAAGCGGAGGA